UACGUAGGGGGCAAGCGUUGUCCGGAUUUAUUGGGCGUAAAGAGCGUGUAGGCGGCCAUGCAGGUCAGCUGUGAAAACUUGAGGCUCAACCUCGAGACGUCGGUUGAAACCGUAUGGCUAGAGUCCGGAAGAGGAGAGUGGAAUUCCCGGUGUAGCGGUGAAAUGCGCAGAUAUCGGGAAGAACACCUAUGGCGAAGGCAGCUCUCUGGGACGGUACUGACGCUGAGACGCGAAAGCGUGGGGAGCAAACAGG
rnacentral:rRNA from 1 species